rnacentral:rRNA from 1 species
AUUGAACGCUGGCGGCAGGCCUAACACAUGCAAGUCGGACGAGCGUCGGACGGGUGAGUAAUGUAUGGGGAUCUGCCUGAUGGAGGGGGAUAACUACUGGAAACGGUAGCUAAUACCGCAUACCAUCAGCUGAACCCAUAUGGGAUUAGCUUGUAGGUAAGGUAACGGCUUACCUAGGCGACGAUCCCUAGCUGGGCUGAGAGGAUGAUCAGCCACACUGGGACUGAGACACGGCCCAGACUCCUACGGGAGGCAGCAGUGGGGAAUAUUGCACAAUGGGCGAAAGUCUGAUAGAGCCAUGCCGCGUGUAUGAAGAAGGUUUUCGGGUUGUAAAGUACUGUCAGUGGGGAGGCGGUAAUCAAAGAAGAAGCACCGGCUAACUCCGUGCCAGCAGCCGCGGUAAUAC